rnacentral:piRNA from 1 species
UGAAAUUUACACAGGUACCUCAAGUCAAGA